UACGAAGGGGGCUAGCGUUGCUCGGAUUUACUGGGCGUAAAGGGCGCGUAGGCGGACAGUUAAGUUGGGGGUGAAAGCCCGAGGCUCAACCUCGGAAUUGCCUUCAAUACUGGCUGUCUUGAGUGUGAGAGAGGUGUGUGGAACUCCGAGUGUAGAGGUGAAAUUCGUAGAUAUUCGGAAGAACACCAGUGGCGAAGGCGACACACUGGCUCACUACUGACGCUGAGGCGCGAAAGCGUGGGGAGCAAACAGG
rnacentral:rRNA from 1 species